rnacentral:rRNA from 1 species
CCGGGAGAAGAAGCACCGGCUAACUCUGUGCCAGCAGCCGCGGUAAUACAGAGGGUGCAAGCGUUGUUCGGAAUUAUUGGGCGUAAAGCGCGUGUAGGCGGCUUGGUAAGUCGGGUGUGAAAGCCCUCAGCUCAACUGAGGAAGUGCGCCCGAAACUGCUAAACUUGAGUGCCGGAGAGGAUGGCGGAAUACCCCAAGUAGAGGUGAAAUUCGUAGAUAUGGGGUGGAACACCGGUGGCGAAGGCGGCCAUCUGGACGGUAACUGACGCUGAGACGCGAAAGCGUGGGUAGCAAACAGGAUUAGAUACCCUGGUAGUCCACGCCGUAAACGAUGAGAACUAGGUGUCGUGGGUGUUGACCCCCGCGGUGCCGUAGCUAACGCAUUAAGUUCUCCGCCUGGGAAGUACGGUCGCAAGACUAAAACCCAAAGGAAUUGACGGGGGCCCGCACAAGCGGUGGAGCAUGUGGUUUAAUUCGACGCAACGCGCAGAACCUUACCUAGUCUUGACAUCCUUCGAAUCUGCCCGAAGCGGUGGAGUGCCCGCAAGGGAACGGAGAGACAGGUGCUGCA